rnacentral:rRNA from 1 species
GGUGGUAAUGCCGGAUGCUCCAGUUGACCGCAUGGUCCUCUGGGAAAGCUUUUGCGGUAUGGGAUGGGGUCGCGUCCUAUCAGCUUGAUGGCGGGGUAACGGCCCACCAUGGCUUCGACGGGUAGCCGGCUGAGAGGGCGACCGGCCACAUUGGGACUGAGAUACGGCCCAGACUCCUACGGGAGGCAGCAGUGGGGAAUAUUGCACAAUGGGCGCAAGCCUGAUGCAGCGACGCCGCGUGCGGGAUGACGGCCUUCGGGUUGUAAACCGCUUUUGACUGGGAGCAAGCCCUUCGGGGUGAGUGUACCUUUCGAAUAAGCACCGGCUAACUACGUGCCAGCAGCCGCGGUAAUACGUAGGGUGCAAGCGUUAUCCGGAAUUAUUGGGCGUAAAGGGCUCGUAGGCGGUUCGUCGCGUCCGGUGUGAAAGUCCAUCGCUUAACGGUGGAUCCGCGCCGGGUACGGGCGGGCUUGAGUGCGGUAGGGGAGACUGGAAUUCCCGGUGUAACGGUGGAAUGUGUAGAUAUCGGGAAGAACACCAAUGGCGAAGGCAGGUCUCUGGGCCGUCACUGACGCUGAGGAGCGAAAGCGUGGGGAGCGAACAGGAUUAGAUACCCUGGUAGUCCACGCCGUAAACGGUGGAUGCUGGAUGUGGGGACCAUUCCACGGUCUCCGUGUCGGAGCCAACGCGUUAAGCAUCCCGCCUGGGGAGUACGGCCGCAAGGCUAAAACUC